UACGGAGGGUGCAAGCGUUGUCCGGAUUUAUUGGGUUUAAAGGGUGCGUAGGCGGGUUUUUAAGUCAGUGGUGAAAGCCCACAGCUCAACUGUGGAACUGCCAUUGAUACUGAAGACCUUGAGUAUCGUUGAGGUAGGCGGAAUUUAUGGUGUAGCGGUGAAAUGCAUAGAUACCAUAAAGAACACCGAUAGCGUAGGCAGCUUACUAAACGAUAACUGACGCUGAGGCACGAAAGCAUGGGUAGCGAACAGGAUUAGAUACCCCAGUAGUCC
rnacentral:rRNA from 1 species